GAUGAAGAACGUAGCGAAAUGCGAUAAGUAAUGUGAAUUGCAGAAUUCAGUGAAUCAUCGAAUCUUUGAACACACAUUGCGCCCCCUGGUAUUCCGGGGGGCAUGCCUGUCCGAGCGUCAUUGCUGCCCUCAAGCACGGCUUGUGUGUUGGGCCCCGUCCUCCGAUCCCGGGGGACGGGCCCGAAAGGCAGCGGCGGCACCGCGUCCGGUCCUCGAGCGUAUGGGGCUUUGUCACCCGCUCUGUAGGCCCGGCCGGCGCUUGCCGAUCAACCCAAAUUUUUAUCCAGGUUGACCUCGGAUCAGGUAGGGAUACCCGCUGAACUUAAGCAUAUCAAUAAGCGGAGGA
rnacentral:misc_RNA from 1 species